rnacentral:lncRNA from 1 species
AAACGAUCUAAAGUUUUUCAAUAAUUCAAUAUGCUCCCCAACAUGGAGAUAUGUACACACAUCUAUCUAUAUCUAUAGGCUAUACCACUAUUACAUUGGAUUACACACAUCUAUCUAUAUCUAUAGGCUAUACCACUAUUACAUUGGAUUGUGUUCUUCUUCUUCAGAAGGGUAGAUUAAUUAUUGUUUAAAAGACUAAUCUUUACUUGUUUGAUUUUCAGUAUAAGCAACUUUUUCAGGGUUCUUGCUUUUCCAUAUUUGUCAACUAUUCGUCAAGCAUGAUAGUCAACUAGUGAAUUAUACUGUUUAUGAUUACUCUUCCUUAUCAUGCCCAAACACUUCCUCCUUGUCCUAUAGUAUCGGGACGUUGAUGCACUCUUCCCACGCUCUUUCUUCACCGUUUCCUCAAAACUCUCGAAUGUCAAGUUGGGUGGAGUACUAAACAGUCAAUGGCUGACUUUCUGGCGUCCGACCUUAUUCGUCAACCAUGUUAGUGAUUUUAUGUUGAAUAACUUCCCUCGCUUUCAACAUUAUCAGAUCUCACAAUUGGGCCAACCUCCUCUACAACUGGCUCAGCUUAUACACCUGCAUGGUAGUAUUCCACAUCAUCUUCAUCAACCUCUUCCACAAUAACCUAAUUUUGUAUCCCUAUAUUAUUUUCCUCCAAAUUAUGCUCAACACCACCAUGCUUUACAUUAUCUCAGACCCGGUCCUCUGCAGAGGCUAAUGAGGCCAUUGCCUCGGACCCAAAACUGAAGGGGCCUCAUUUGGCCCA